ACGCUGGCGGCACGCCUAACACAUGCAAGUCGAACGAAGUAGCAAUACUUAGUGGCGAACGGGUGAGUAUAAUGUGGGUAUCUGCCUUUUGGUUUGGAAUAACACGAGGAAACUUGUGCUAAUACCGGAUAAGCCUUUACAGGGAAAGUUUUAACGCCGAAAGAUGAGCCCGCACUUGAUUAGCUAGUUGGUAAGGUAAUGGCUUACCAAGGCUUCGAUCAAUAGCUGAUCUGAGAGGAUGAUCAGCCACAUUGGGACUGAGACACGGCCCAGACUCCUACGGGAGGCAGCAGUGGGGAAUCUUGCACAAUGGGGGAAACCCUGAUGCAGCGAUGCCGCGUGAGUGAAGAAGGCCCUUGGGUUGUAAAGCUCUUUCGUCGGGGAAGAAAAUGACUGUACCCGAAUAAGAAGGUCCGGCUAACUUCGUGCCAGCAGCCGCGGUAAUACGAAGGGACCUAGCGUAGUUCGGAAUUACUGGGCUUAAAGAGCUCGUAGGUGGUUAGAAAAGUUGGUGGUGAAAUCCCAAGGCUUAACCUUGGAACUGCCGCCAAAACUUUUUAACUAGAGUGUGAUAGAGGUAAGCGGAAUUUCUAGUGUAGAGGUGAAAUUCGUAGAUAUUAGAAAGAACACCAAUUGCGAAGGCAGCUUUCUGGAUCAUUACUGACACUGAGGAGCGAAAGCAUGGGUAGCGAAGAGGAUUAGAUACCCUCGUAGUCCAUGCUGUAAACGAUGUGUGCUAGACGUUGGAAAUUUAAUUUUCAGUGUCGCAGCAAAAGCGUUAAGCACACCGCCUGGGGAGUACG
rnacentral:rRNA from 1 species